rnacentral:rRNA from 1 species
AUUGCGANUGGGGGAACCCUGACGCAGCGANUCCCCNUGCUGGGNGAUGAAGGCCUUCGGGUUCNAAAACCCUGNGAGAGGGGACGAAAGGGGAUAUGGCUAAUAUCCAUGUCCAUUGANUGUCCCCUCAGAGGAAGCACCGGCUAACUCCGUGCCAGCAGCCGCGGUAAUACGGAGGGUGCAAGUGUUGUUCGGAUUUACUGGGCGUAAAGGGCGCGUAGGUGGAUAGGUAAGUCAGAUGUGAAAUCCUGAGGCUCAACCUCAGAACUGCAUUUGAUACUGCCUGUCUUGAGUGUGGUAGAGGGGAGUGGAAUUCCCGGUGUAGAGUUGAAAUUCGUAGAUAUCGGGAGGAACACCUGUGGCGAAGGCGACUCCCUGGGCCACUACUGACACUGAGGCGCGAAAGCGUGGGGAGCAAACAGGAUUAGAUACCCUGGUAGUCCACGCUGUAAACGAUGAGUACUAGGUGUGGCGGGUGUAAACUCCCGCUGCGCCGGAGCUAACGCAUUAAGUACUCCGCCUGGGAAGUACGGUCGCAAGGCUGAAACUCAAAAAAAUUGACGGA